GCGCGAGUAACUCAGGGGAAGAGGGUCAGCUUCCCAAGCUGAAGGUCGCGGGUUCAACCCCCGUCUCGCGCU
rnacentral:tRNA from 1 species